AUUAGGAGAAUCUGUGAAAUGACAGAAUCUGAAAAAAUUAUCCAACGGGCUUUGAAAGGAAAUCCAGGGAGGCCCUUUGGGAAUUUAGAAAUCCGACGCUUUCAUAGAGUAAAAGUAUUGAAUGGAAUGAUUUUGAAUAUCGACUUAUUAGUAAAAAACCUUCUCCAACUUUUAAAUUGUCCAAACAAGAACUUUAUGUAAGAGUCGAUGCACGAAAAGGAGAAUUGGGAAUUUUUUUGAUAGGAGAUUAGAUUGUUUUUCCUUGGAGAUGGAAAAUUAGCUCAUUGGGUUUUUUCAACUUGCAAACUCUGAAUUAGUUAGAAUGAAAUUGGCUAAUAUGAUGACGAUACUAGGUAGUAUAGAUAUCAUUAUGGGAGAAGUUGAUCAUUGAAAUGAUAGUUGAUAAUACAACAGAACUGUAAGCCAUCCAUUCUUUUUCCAGAUUGGAAUUCUUAAAAGAAGUCAAUGGGAUUGUAUGGGUGCUUGUCCUUAUUUUGACUCUUGUAUUAGGAUUCACACUAGGUGUAUUAAUAAUUGUUUGGUUAGAAAGAGAAAUAUUUGUAGGGAUAUAAUAAUGUAUUGGACCUGAAUAUGCCGGCCCCUUGGGAAUUCUUCAAGCUCUAGCAAAUGGGGUAAAACUACUUUUCAAAGAGAAUCUGUUUCCAUUUAGAAAGGAUACUCGUUUCUUCCGUAUCGGACCAUCCAUAGUAGUCA
rnacentral:lncRNA from 1 species